rnacentral:rRNA from 1 species
UACGUAGGGGGCAAGCGUUGUCCGGAAUUAUUGGGCGUAAAGCGCGCGCAGGCGGUUCUUUAAGUCUGGUGUUUAAACCCGAGGCUCAACUUCGGGUCGCACUGGAAACUGGGGGACUUGAGUGCAGAAGAGGAGAGUGGAAUUCCACGUGUAGCGGUGAAAUGCGUAGAUAUCGUCUGGAACGCCGAAGGUGAAAACAGCUCGCUGGGGCUGCGCUGACGCUGAGACACGAAAGCCAGGGGAGCGAACGGG